CGGCGAGUGAAGCGGCAAGAGCUCAAAUUUGAAAUCUGGCUCCUUCGGGGCCCGAGUUGUAAUUUGGAGAGGAUGCUUCGGGCGUGGCCCCUAUCUAAGUGCCCUGGAACGGGCCGUCAUAGAGGGUGAGAAUCCCGUCUGGGAUAGGUGGUCCCGCCCGUGUGAAGCUCCUUCGAAGAGUCGAGUUGUUUGGGAAUGCAGCUCUAAGAGGGUGGUAAAUUUCAUCUAAAGCUAAAUAUUGGCCGGAGACCGAUAGCGCACAAGUAGAGUGAUCGAAAGAUGAAAAGCACUUUGAAAAGAGAGUUAAACAGCACGUGAAAUUGUUGAAAGGGAAGCAUUGGCAACCAGACUUGCUUGGGGAGGCUCAGCCGGCACGUGUGCCGGUGCACUCCUCCCCGGCAGGCCAGCGUCGGUUUGGGCGGUCGGUCAAAGGCCCUGGGAAUGUAGCACUCUUCGGGGUGCCUUAUAGCCCGGGGCGCCAUGCGACCUGCCCGGACCGAGGAACGCGCUUCGGCUCGGACGCUGGCGUAAUGGUUGUCAAUGGCCCGUCUUGAAACACGGACCAAGGAGUCUAACAUCUAUGCGAGUGUUCGGGUGUCAAACCCGUCCGCGCAGUGAAAGCGAACGGAGGUGGGAACCCUCUCGGGGGCGCACCAUCGACCGAUCCUGAUGUCUUCGGAUGGAUUUGAGUAAA
rnacentral:rRNA from 1 species